GCACUGCUGAAGAGUCCUAUACUGGGACGAAACAGCUGUCCAAUGC
rfam:Schistosoma haematobium scaffold228_3, whole genome shotgun sequence.